rnacentral:misc_RNA from 1 species
GAAUAUUUUGAGGUAUUUGUUUUCUAACAUGAAGAUCUUUAUAAAACAUGACUUGGUUCACGGACAGCGUCUUUCAUCAUUUAAAUUUAUGAAUAUGUAAUAGGUGUUGUCUUUUAAUUAUAUUUUCCUGAGUGAAUGCUGGUUCUGUGUGCUCAAGAAAAGAGCUUACUUUAUUACUGUCCAAUAUUUUCCUUUUUUACUUGUUUACGAUGUAGCUUUUUUGGUUAGCUCUUAGUUGUUUCAACUUCUUCAUCUUCUUUUUGUGCGGCCAGGAGAACUAAUGUCUUAAUAAACUC